AUUACAAAAUGAAGAUGAAUCAAACAUUAGCAACAUUUUUCGUUGUGAUCGCUAUUUUUAUUCUUACAUCAGACAAUGGAAUGCGUUCAGUUGAAGGUAUUGAAACAGGGAUUUGUGAACGAUUUGUACUAGGGGUUAUUUGUCCACCAGAAAAAGAUUCAAGGAUAUGCCUAACGGAGUGCACUAACAUAUCCGGAGGUCAUAAACCCAUUAAUCAUCCUUGUUUACAAGCCAAAGAUUCAUCUAUCUGCUUUUGUCAAUGGCUAUCAGAUUUAUGUUAAUGGAGAUCUUCUACAUCCAUCAAACAUUCAUUACUCUCGAUCAACACAUAAUUAAGUACACCAACCAAUUCUAGAAGAAAACUUUGAUUGUAAUAAGAUAUAUAUAGCAGUUGUACUUGUUGAUUCUGCAUCAAGUUUUCUUGAGUAUAAGAAUUUCGUAAAGUAUGAUUCAGUGUUCAA